rnacentral:rRNA from 1 species
AUUGAACGCUGGCGGCAGGCCUAACACAUGCCAGUCGAGCGGAUGAAGGGAGCUUGCUCCUGGAUUCAGCGGCGGACGGGUGAGUAAUGCCUAGGAAUCUGCCUGGUAGUGGGGGAUAACGUCCGGAAACGGGCGCUAAUACCGCAUACGUCCUGAGGGAGAAAGUGGGGGAUCUUCGGACCUCACGCUAUCAGAUGAGCCUAGGUCGGAUUAGCUAGUUGGUGGGGUAAAGGCCUACCAAGGCGACGAUCCGUAACUGGUCUGAGAGGAUGAUCAGUCACACUGGAACUGAGACACGGUCCAGACUCCUACGGGAGGCAGCAGUGGGGAAUAUUGGACAAUGGGCGAAAGCCUGAUCCAGCCAUGCCGCGUGUGUGAAGAAGGUCUUCGGAUUGUAAAGCACUUUAAGUUGGGAGGAAGGGCAGUAAGUUAAUACCUUGCUGUUUUGACGUACCAACAGAAUAAGCACCGGCUAACUUCGUG